GCCACAUACAUAAAAAGCUUACUCAAGCAUGCGGAAGAAAUCACCGCUAGCAUGUGGCGGUGGCGGGCCAGUAGCAAGGUGGCUGGCGCGGUGACUGGACAAGCACACAUCAUUACACACAUCAUCAUACACAAACGAACAACGAAAAACAAUGCGCAGUGUGGGGGCGGCAUGGCUUCUGUUGGUGGUGGCGCUGGUGGUAAAUUAUAUUCAUGGUGAGCCGGGUAACCGAGUGUUUAAAAAACUGGCUGGCCACCGGUCUGCUGUCGCCGAAAUCCACGCCAUGGGCAGCGUGAUCAGAUGCGCAAUGAUGUGUACCACGAAGGAAUAUCACAUCUUCAUGAUGAAUCUCACUACCUGCUUUCUUCUCACCAAGACUAAACCCUUAUUAUUGGUCAGCGAUCCUAACUACGACAUGUACAUCUCAAAUGACGUCAUUCUGCCCCUGAGAACAUCGAUAGCAGGCCCCUAUGGCGAAUGGCAGGAACCAAUCUUCUGCCCCAGUGGCCAGUACGUCUACGGCUUCACACUCUACGAAGAUACCUUUGAUGGCUUGGAUUUCCAAGUCGACGACUGCGGCGUGACAGGCGUGGAGCUGAUGUGCAUUAACCCUAGGAACUUAACCGACCGAUCAACCGUCACCCACAAAGUUGAUUACGUCUACGCCGUGCGACGAUCCAGUGUCACGUGCCCCUACUCUGACCUUGUGGACUCCUUCCGAGUCAAGAUGGCACCAGUGACAGAUCUCGAAGAUAGUACUUCUUUAAUAGACCUAAAGUUCACGUGUCAGCAGACAAGACAAGUGCUCCGGAGCUUCAUCCCUAUACAGUCAGGCAGUGAGUCUGAGGAAGUACAGUGUCCCCUCGGCCGCGUGGUGUGCGGCGUACGAACACAGGAUGUCGUCUUUAGCACUGCCUAUGACAACACCUGCCUCAAUGAUGUAAAUGUUCAGUGCUGUGUGGUCUAAACAUCUUGUCAGUAUAUUGAUAAUGUAGAAAUUUAAAUACAAUGAUAGUCACCCACCCUGCUAGAGAAUCACUCACCCAGAAAAUCAGCUAGAUAACAAGCUAGUACCAUUUAUUUAAAGAAGUUCGAUGGCACUUUAUAGUUUCAGUCAGUCAGUCCAUUAUUUGCCUUAUAAAACUCUUUACUUCUUAGUGACUUUAGACUUUACUCACAUUAUCCCCUAUUGUGGAUCUUAGAUGUCAUAUCAAAGG